UGACGGAUCGUACGUCAAGUCAGCAUGGCCNCGUUUACGUCCUACUGUGGCUAUCAGCAACAGUGCUACAAAUGAGCACAGAGUAGUACACAGAGGGAUGCAGCAAAGAUCCGGCGACGAUGGACGGCAAGUCCCAGAAAAUCCCGUUGCGUCCAAGGUUUGCGAUCUGCCAGGCAUGGCCAACGUCGCCGCAUGGCCAAUGGAAGUUCGGAAUUCGCUAGUAACCGCAGAUCAGCUAAGCUGCGGUGAAUACGUUCCCGGGCCUUGUACACACCGCCCGUCACGUCACCUGAGUUGUCUGCACCCGAAGCCGGUGGGGUAACCGCAAGGAGCCAGCCGUCGAAGGUGUGGGGAGCGAGGGGGACGAAGUCGUAACAAGUUNACGUCUCGGAAGUGCGGCUGGAUCACUUCUAAUCCCUGGGCAUCGCGAUGACCGNCAGUU
rnacentral:rRNA from 1 species